UGAUAUAUACACUGUCCCUGCUCUACAUGUCCAAACCAUUUAAACCUGGGCUCUCUUGCUUGGUAUCCAGUAUGUGCUGAUCUUAUUUCUGAGGUUGUCCAUCAUUGCCAAGGUGAAUCUUCACACCUUUAAGUUUCCAACCCUUUCUCCUGUCUUUUAGUCAUUGAUACCACCUCCAAACCAUACAUGGUUGGUGUUACUACCAUGCUCCCUUCCACUCUCUCCAUUGCUCUGAACAAUAGAUCCCAUGCACUUAAACCUUUGCCACCCCCACUGGCCUUCUUUUUAUUCCUACACAUACUCUGGCCUGCUGCAACUGACCUUCAUUCCUCAUUUCUUGAGCGCAAACAUCAGUAUGACUCAAGCCCAUAAACAUAAUUAUUGUCGUGUCUCUCAUGUCUUUGUAGUCUGUGAUCAGUGUUAAGAUAUGUAACUAGAAUCAGGAAGUAAGGGCAUGUUUCAGCACAGUGUCGAAAGAGAACGCUGCUUGUUCUAUUCUCUCCUGCAGUUCGGCAAAACAAUUACCUACAUUUUGUGUUAUACAAGGCAUCGUUGGUUUCUUAGACUAAAAAAGCUCCUGUACCGGCAGAGAGAAAGAGGAAACCUCGUUGCACCUGCCUCAGUGAACUCAAAGAUGCUGUUGAGAUGAGCCAAAAACACUGUGGCUGUCUUAUAUCCUGCACCUGUGACCGUUGGGCAGCAGCCAUCCGCCUGAUGUUUGACAAGACAAGACGCCCACUGUGACUCAGUAAAAGAAACCAUUGAUGGUUAGUAGGUCGACAACAUUUGAGUGUUUAUGGAAUACAAAUGAUGAAGAGGAUCUUGUUGUGCUGAUAAACUGUGUUGGAAAAGGUUAGUUGACAGCCAGCCGUAUUCACUCCUUCAUGUACUCUUUGGCUUUGUGUCGACCUGCCACAUAUAUUUCACAGUUGGAGUAGGAGGUGUUUCUGAAGUACAAUUUAAACUAAUGUCUGCUUCUGUCUGAUUCAUGGACUCCGAGGGAACUAUUCAUACCAGGCAACAAAAAUAAGACAGGAGUGUUUCCAGGAUUGCCCAAUUUAGCGCUAAGGUCUUUCAGGAUACCGCAGUGAUCAUCAAAGUACACUUCUCCAAAAUUACGGUUUAAGGUUUGAAGUCAAUGGAUGAAUGUGAGACUGAAAAAGAUUGUGAAGACGACAACUAUACAGCUGGCUAUGGCUAAAAAGAGGUAAUUGUGAUCCUUCAUUUAGCAGCCAGAAAAAAAGACCAAAACAUACA